ACCACACCUCUACCCGCCAGAGAAUUACAAGACAAAACUCAAAACUCAAAGGACUUGACGGUGUCCCAAACCAACCUAGAGGAGCCUGUCCUAUAAUCAUAAUCCACGUUACACCCCACCCCCCCUUGAAACCAGCCUGUAUACCGCCGUCUUCCAGUUCGCCUUAUGACAGACCAAAAGCGAACACAACAGCCCACCACUAAGACGUCAGGUCAAGGUGCAGCCAAUGAGGGGGUAGCGAUGGGCUACAUUUUCUGCCACAACAGAACACCACCAGCCACCACAUGAAAUAUGGGUCACAAGACGGAUUUAGCAGUAAGCCAGACAAGAGUGCCUGACUGAAGCCUGCUCUGGGACGCGCACACACCGCC
rnacentral:rRNA from 1 species